ACGGAUGGUACCCACAGUGGGAGAGAGUCAGCUUGCAGAAGAGAGGAGAUCUAGGAAGACCUAAGAAGACUGGGGACUUAGCAGGAUGAAUUUCCAGUUGACCCAUCUAAGGACAGCUCUCAUAUCUUCGACGUUUGGUUUUCUCUGGGAUAACCAGGCUGUGAGGUGGGCUGGAGAGAGAGCUGGGCAAGAAAGGAACCUCACCCUUAGCUCUACCCAUGCAUGAGUGGCUUUAUACAUAGGAUCGGAUUUUCAAACUGGGUGAAUAUGUAUAUUAUCUCCAUUUUAUCUCGGAGGGCCCAGCUAGUAAGUUUUUUAAUGCAGCUGAGUCUAACACACCCACCUUUCCCACAUCACAGUAACACCUCGCUGACUGUGACAUGCCACACUGCGAGCUACACAAAGAGAAUUACCCAACACUGUUUGAGACAACAUAGUGAGACAUACAAGGACCACUGAACUCAGCUUCAUAAAAUGUUAGACCAAGAUGUGAAUGAUCAGUGAAACAUUUUCACUGGCUAGGUCCAGGACAAGAACAUGUCAGGAUGGAGAAAACAUAUCCUAAAGUCAGUCUAGAUGGAGUCUCUUCAGCAAGGCCUGGUUCAGCUGGUGGCUUUCAGCCUCUCUCUUCUCAGGGAGUGCGUGCAUGCGCUCACUUUUUCCAGUGGGCUUCUCGGUCUGAUUUAAUGGAUAUACCAGGACUGAUGACACAUCAGCACGGGAUCUUUCUUUUGCUUCUUGGGAUGAACGAGGAGCCCCUCCUAUCCUCAGUGCCUGCAACUCUCUCCAGACCCAAGACCCCAGAAAGGAGAGAAAGGAAAGGAGACAAUGGACACCUGGUACCCUACUGUGCAGCUCAAAAGAAACUUGGAAAAUACAGACUGUCCAACACAUUCAAUUCUGUUGGUGCUAAAGUUCCCUGACUCCCCAUAGAUAAGAUUGCUCAGCUGUCUUCUCAGAACUGUGUCAAGGUUUAAAUUUGUUCUCUAUUUGCUAUGUGAAACAGAUGGCCACUCUUCGUAUGCAGUCCCUCCUAUCUUCUCAAAAUAGUCUUGUAUUUAAGCCCAGUAACUUUAGUCUAGCCUUGGUAUCUUCUAAUACUUUGGUUUUAAAAUAUUUUCUU
ensembl:lncRNA